CAGAUACCCAAAUAUGUUCCACUCCAACGAGAGGGAUUUCAUGGUGAAAAACUACCGGGAAGAGUCGCAUAUACCCAAAUAUGUUCCACUCCAAUGAGAGGGAUUUCAUGGUGAAAAACAACCGGGAAGAGUCGCAUAUACCCAAAUAUGUUCCACUCCAACGAGAGGGAUUUCAUGGUGAAAAACUACCGGGAAGAGUCGCAUGUUAGUAUUUGCUAAUUACAAUUGUACUUGAAACUAUGUUAAUAUAAGGGAGACAAUAAAAAUAUGUUUUACUGUAACAAUAGCUUAGAAUUGUAUGAUAAAUUUGGUCUUAAAUCAAUUUCUUUUAUUCAAAUUUAGACUCGAAUGAGGUAUAUUUUAAUUAGAAUUCACAGUAAUUGUAAAUCAAAUGUCACUGAUUUAAGAUUUAAAUCAAAACACAUCACAUCAAUUUCAAUAGCCAAAAUAUAUUCCCCAUUUUGAAGCUGAUACUAAUUUAU